rnacentral:rRNA from 1 species
UCUGAAUCUGCGAACGGCUCCGCACACCAGUUGUAAACUAUAGCAAGUCCGUCGGUAGGUGAGCAAUCAUCGACUGACACACAGGGAUAACCCUGGUAAUCCUAAGGCUAAUACAAGAACGUAACACUCGAUUGACCUAGCAAUGGGGAGGUCGAGGGUUGUGCAGCUAACACACUGCAAAAAACGAUACACGAAUGAAUGCACGAUCAAACCACCAUACCAAACGACCUUUUGUGAAGCCUUCGGGUGGAACUACUAGCUCGGGUGGGCCUUGCAAAGUGCUUCUGACCUAUCAACUAGAUGGCAGCGUAAAGGACAUGCUAUGGU